rnacentral:rRNA from 1 species
UACAGAGGUCUCAAGCGUUGUUCGGAUUCAUUGGGCGUAAAGGGUGCGUAGGUGGCGCCAUAAGUCAGGUGUGAAAUCUCGGGGCUCAACCCCGAAACUGCACUUGAUACUGUGGUGCUGGAGUACUGGAGAGGAGAUUGGAAUUUACGGUGUAGCAGUGAAAUGCGUAGAUAUCGUGAGGAACACCAGAGGCGAAGGCGGUUACCUGGACAGUUACUGACGCUCAGGCACGAAAGCAUGGGGAGCAAAAGGG